AGCAGCCGCGGUAAUUCCAGCUCCAAUAGCGUAUAUUAAAGUUGUUGCAGUUAAAAAGCUCGUAGUUGAAUUUCGGGAUUAGUGCGCUGGUCAUGCCUUUGGUAUGUACUGGUGUUACUGGUUCCUACCUUCUGAAGAACCGUCAUGUCAUUAAUUUGGUGUGGUGGGGAAUCAGGACUGUUACUUUGAAAAAAUUAGAGUGUUUAAAGCAGGCUCACGCUUGAAUACAUUAGCAUGGAAUAAUGAAAUAGGACGUUUGAUUCUAUUUUGUUGGUUUCUAGGAUCGACGUAAUGAUUAAUAGGGAUAGUUGGGGGCAUUAGUAUUCAAUUGUCAGAGGUGAAAUUCUUGGAUUUAUUGAAGACUAACUACUGCGAAAGCAUUUUGCCAAGGAUGUUUUCAUUAAUCAAGAACGAAAGUUAGGGGAUCGAAGACGAUCAGAUACCGUCGUAGUCUUAACCAUAAACUAUGCCGACUAGGGAUCGGAUGAUGUUAAUUUUUUAAUGACUCAUUCGGCGCCUU
rnacentral:rRNA from 1 species